UACGUAGGGUGCAAGCGUUAAUCGGAAUUACUGGGCGUAAAGCGUGCGCAGGCGGUUUUGUAAGUCUGUCGUGAAAUCCCCCGGGCUCAACCUGGGAAAUUGCGAUGGAGACUGCAAGGCUAGAAUCUGGCAAGAGGGGGGUAGAAUUCCGACGUGUGAGCAGUGAAAUGCGUAGAGAUAGUGGAGGAACACCGAUGGCGAAGGCAGCCCCUGGGUCAGAUUGACGCUACCAUGCACGAAGCGUGGGAGCAAGAGAUAGAAACCGGAGUGAGAUCCA
rnacentral:rRNA from 1 species